rnacentral:rRNA from 1 species
CCUACGGGAGGCAGCAGUGGGGAAUUUUGGACAAUGGGCGAAAGCCUGAUCCAGCAAUGCCGCGUGAGUGAAGAAGGCCUUCGGGUUGUAAAGCUCUUUUGUCAGGGAAGAAACGGUGUUUUCUAAUACAGAAUGCUAAUGACGGUACCUGAAGAAUAAGCACCGGCUAACUACGUGCCAGCAGCCGCGGUAAUACGUAGGGUGCAAGCGUUAAUCGGAAUUACUGGGCGUAAAGCGUGCGCAGGCGGUUUUGUAAGUCUGACGUGAAAUCCCCGGGCUCAACCUGGGAAUUGCGUUGGAGACUGCAAGGCUAGAGUUUGGCAGAGGGGGGUAGAAUUCCACGUGUAGCAGUGAAAUGCGUAGAUAUGUGGAGGAACACCGAUGGCGAAGGCAGCCCCCUGGGUCAAGACUGACGCUCAUGCACGAAAGCGUGGGGAGCAAACAGGGUUAGAUACCCUGGUAGUCCACGCCCUAAACGAUGUCUACUAGUUGUCGGGUCUUAAUUGACUUGGUAACGCAGCUAACGCGUGAAGUAGACCGCCUGGGGGAGGUAGGUCGCGAAGAAGUAAACUUAACUUAAAGUAAAGUUAGUUAGGCGUUGAGAGNGCGACGGACGACGACGAGGGAGGAGGAG